GGUGAACGCUGGCGGCGUGCCUAAUACAUGCAAGUCGAGCGAACGGACGAGAAGCUUGCUUCUCUGAUGUUAGCGGCGGACGGGUGAGUAACACGUGGAUAACCUACCUAUAAGACUGGGAUAACUUCGGGAAACCGGAGCUAAUACCGGAUAAUAUUUUGAACCGCAUGGUUCAAAAGUGAAAGACGGUCUUGCUGUCACUUAUAGAUGGAUCCGCGCUGCAUUAGCUAGUUGGUAAGGUAACGGCUUACCAAGGCAACGAUGCAUAGCCGACCUGAGAGGGUGAUCGGCCACACUGGAACUGAGACACGGUCCAGACUCCUACGGGAGGCAGCAGUAGGGAAUCUUCCGCAAUGGGCGAAAGCCUGACGGAGCAACGCCGCGUGAGUGAUGAAGGUCUUCGGAUCGUAAAACUCUGUUAUUAGGGAAGAACAUAUGUGUAAGUAACUGUGCACAUCUUGACGGUACCUAAUCGGAAAGCCACGGCUAACUACGUG
rnacentral:rRNA from 1 species